AACGAACGCUGGCGGCGCGCUUAACACAUGCAAGUCGAACGAGAAGGCGUAGCAAUACGCUUGUACAGUGGCGAACGGGUGAGUAAUACGUGGGCGACCUACCCUCGAGUGGGGAAUAACCCGCCGAAAGGCGGGCUAAUGCCGCGUACGCUUCCAUCUUUAUGGAGGUGGAAGGAAAGCCGUGCCGUGGGCACGGCGCUCAAGGAUGGGCUCACGUCCUAUCAGCUUGUUGGUAGGGAACGGCCUACCAAGGCUCCGACGGGUAGCUGGUCUGAGAGGACGAUCAGCCACACUGGCACUGCGACACGGGCCAGACUCCUACGGGAGGCAGCGGUGGGGAAUAUUGCGCAAUGGGGGAAACCCUGACGCAGCGACGCCGCGUGGGUGAU
rnacentral:rRNA from 1 species